AUUGAACGCUGGCGGCAUGCCUUACACAUGCAAGUCGAACGGUAACAGGUCUUCGGAUGCUGACGAGUGGCGAACGGGUGAGUAAUGCAUCGGAACGUGCCCAGUUGUGGGGGAUAACUGCUCGAAAGAGCAGCUAAUACCGCAUACGACCUGAGGGUGAAAGCGGGGGAUCGCAAGACCUCGCGCAAUUGGAGCGGCCGAUGUCAGAUUAGGUAGUUGGUGGGGUAAAGGCCCACCAAGCCAACGAUCUGUAGCUGGUCUGAGAGGACGACCAGCCACACUGGGACUGAGACACGGCCCAGACUCCUGCGGGAGGCAGCAGUGGGGAAUUUUGGACAAUGGACGCAAGUCUGAUCCAGCCAUGCCGCGUGCGGGAAGAAGGCCUUCGGGUUGUAAACCGCUUUUGUCAGGGAAGAAACGCUCUGGGUUAAUACCUCGGGGUAAUGACGGUACCGUAAGAAUAAGCACCGGCUAACUACGUGCCAGCCGCCGCCGUAACAC
rnacentral:rRNA from 1 species